GAUGAACGCUGGCGGCGUGCCUAAUACAUGCAAGUCGAGCGAACGGACGAGAAGCUUGCUUUUCUGAUGUUAGCGGCGGACGGGUGAGUAAAACGUGGAUAACCUACCUAUAAGACUGGGAUAACUUCGGGAAACCGGAGCUAAUACCGGAUAAUAUUUUGAACCGCAUGGUUCAAAAGUGAAAGACGGUCUUGCUGUCACUUAUAGAUGGAUCCGCGCUGCAUUAGCUAGUUGGUAAGGUAACGGCUUACCAAGGCAACGAUGCCUAGCCGACCUGAGAGGGUGAUCGGCCACACUGGAACUGAGACACGGUCCAGACUCCUACGGGAGGCAGCAGUAGGGAAUCUUCCGCAAUGGGCGAAAGCCUGACGGAGCAACGCCGCGUGAGUGAUGAAGGUCUUCGGAUCGUAAAACUCUGUUAUUAGGGAAGAACAUAUGUGUAAGUAACUGUGCACAUCUUGACGUUACCUAAUCAGAAAGCCACGGCUAACUACGUG
rnacentral:rRNA from 1 species